ensembl:lncRNA
AUGAUGCUUUUUCCAUUGGUGGUUGCUCUUUUCGUGGUGGUAUCAGCUAAUCCUAAGCAUGGCCCUGGUGAAGGGGGAAAACGUGAGCAUGGUUUAGGACAUCCACAUGGUCGUCCACAUGGACAGGGGAAGAGAAGGUUCAAUGUAGGACAUCCACUUCCACCCAAUGAUGAAGACGUAAGUUUUCCCCUCAAUUAUUGUUUUCUUGGUUUUCUUCCUAGUUUCCCCAUUUAUUAGUCACAGAAUAAAUGUCUAAUGGAGAUGAAAUGGAAAAUGGCUUCCUAAUAUUCUCCACUAGUCCAGUUUGGGGCAACUCUUGAUCACUAUUGUCUUGUGGAAUGAGCUUGUGUGAGAAAUAUUGAAAGAAAGAAUAGGUAUAAUCCUCCAGUACUUUAGCUGGACAUGAAAUGUGUUGUGGUAAUCUCUGAGCGGUUAGACUCAAUUUAACCCUCUCUGGGGGAGAUUCCACCAAAAUGUAGCAGAGUAGCAAAAGCAAAAACUUUCAAAUGCAGCAGUUACUUACACGUGGUGAGCAAAGAGAAGCCUCUGACUAUUUAGGAUUGCAAUGGACUGCAGAGUCUCAAUAAAAGUUCAAAAAGUAUUUAUUCAGGUAAAAAGAACUCCAUUGUAGAUAGAAAGGUUUGGGAGCUGUCUAGUCUACUCUAGACUGGUUUCUAAGGAAAAAUAAGAAAGGAAAAAUAACAAACAUCUAAAUAAUUACAUCUUGCCAGGAGAGAUGGCAGGACGUGUUGUUAGCUUGAAGAACAAAGGGAGAAGAGCGAACCAAAAUGGUUCCAACCUCAUGGUCCAGUUUGUUGGGGCCAUAAAAGACAUUCUGACCAAUGGGAAGUUAGUGUCCCUAAAGAUUCACAUUUCUACUAACUUCAAAGUAAGGGAUGUGACGUACACAGGAUAGAGGGAAACACAGUAAAGCCUGUCUAGGCAUGCUUUGGAAACAGGGAAAGGAUUCCCUCAAUCUAACUCUAUCAUCUAUCUAACUACAUCUAGACUUGAGUAGUCCAGGAUGAUUCCCAACAAAAUGGACACACUUACUCCCCAAAGAGAUGUUCCCAUUCCCCUAAUAAAUGCAGUUUUACCUUUUUUCUCUCCUCCUUAGUCUGAAGACGAGAUGGAAAGACCUGUUCUGGAUGUAAGUAAUAGUGUGUUGCAUUUGCCAGCAGGAGAUACACAAGACAUACUAGUUUGGGUACAUGAAACAGCUGAGCACAAUCUGCCCUUUUGUAGACCUAGAACCUGCUCCCUGGCUUCUCCAGAUGACCAUGCUCCUUUCCCAUGAAAUAACAGAGGAGUUUGAAACGUUUUUCCUAAAGGUUAUAAGAGCUAUUUUUUGAAAGUGCACACAGACAACAGGAUGAAGACUAAUCUUAGUAAGGUUUUCCCCAACAUUAAGUCUAGUCGUGUCUGACCCUGGGGGUUGGUGCUCAUCUCUAUUUCUAAGCCAAAGAGCCGGCAUUGUCUAUAGACACCUCCAAGGUCAUGUGGCCGGCAUAACUAAAUGGAGUGCUGUUACCUUCCCGCCUGAGCGGUACCUAUUGAUCUACUCACAUUUCCAUGUUUUCGAACUGCUAGGUUGGCAGGAGCUGGAGCUAACAGUGGAAGCUAACCCCACUCUCCAGAUUCAAACUGCAAGUUCAGCAGCUCAGGAGUUUAACCCACUGCGCCACUGGGGGCUCCAAUCUUAACACAUGUUGAAUUUUAUGUUCUUGGCCUACCUUAAGUGUCACAACUGGGAGAAGUUUGCUAUGUGAUCUCAAGUCAGCCCACUCAUACACACAGAAUGCUAUAAAUCCCAGGAUGGACUGUUAUGUGAUUGGAUCAGGGUGUAUUCAAAUAUUAUUCCACAAUCCAAAGACCAUUCUCCUUCAAGUUAGCUACUACAGGGAGGAGGGAAUGAAGAUGUUGUCCUUCAAAAUUAUUUUAUUUAUUUAUUUAUUUAUUUACAGUAUUUAUAUUCCGCCCUUCUCACCCCGAAGAGCAGAUCACAUUGCACACAUAUAAGGCAAACAUUCAGUGCCAUAACAUAGAACAGAGACAGAGACAGACGCAGGAAAGGGCUGGCCUCGAACUCAUGACCUCUUGGUCAGAGUGAUUUGUUGCAGCUGGCUGCUAACCAGCCUGUGCCAUAGCCUUCUCCCCCCAAAUUUGUGCCAUUGCCAAAAGAGAGACAUUCAAAUUAAACACUUCUCUUUUUUGUAUUUGCAUUCCCAUAGUCACUUUACCUGUAAUUUUUCUUUGUUUCUGAAUGCUUAACUGGUUUUAUAUUAAAGUUGGAGAUUAAAGGAAAAAAUCCACCCGGUGGAUCAGAAUUCUUAUUUGGGGGCAAUGCCCUUACAUACUCACCCA